UGUCAGUGAAGAAUCUUACCCAUGUGGCCAGCUUCUGGGUUUUUCCAGAAUCUUGUCUUCAUUUUCCAGAGCAAGUGGCUUUCAUCCUGGUCACCAGAAACUAGAGAGGAAAAUAAUUUCCCCUCUACUUUGUAGCGAGUUGCUUGGCUGAGAACUUUUUUUUUUUUUUCAGGGCACCUCAUAAAUGGAAACAUUUAUCUACAUUAAAAUUCUCCACGGUAGCCACUGUAAUUCAUGAUAAUCUUGGUAAGGGUAACCUGUUUGUUCAGCGUUAAAACAUUUUUUUUUUUUUUCCAGCUGAGGUCUCGUCUCACACCAACCUCUGUUAAGACGGACCCAGACAGAAUGUGGACCGGGUCCGCCCCCGAACUCUGUCCGGCUGCCGAAUCUGACCCAGUGCAAGCCUAACCCACACCGGUUUCCAAGUCGGACCCAGUUGAACCCCGGACCCUGUCCGGCUUCUUAAGUCCAACCCAGAGCGACUCUGGCUGGGACCAGAUAGCGGGAUUCAGUCCAGGCUAAAAAAAAAAAAAAAAAAGUCGAAUAAAAUCUGGAAGCUCAUAACGCAAAGGCUGCAAAGCUGGGAUCUGACAGAGACUUGGCCGCCACCUCCAGAGACAGCUGGACGGCAGCGAACGAACCCAAGGGCCUCGGCAGCUAUCUGACCUAGACUCUGCCAAUCAAAAUACAUCUGUGCCACAAUUUGAAGAUCUGUAAAGGAAAAUGUAUGUCCAAGCCUACAGAAUUCAUGUCCUUGAACAGAACUGGCUCAAUGCAUCUCAUCUCACAUGAAGAUACUUCUUUUCUCCACCUGGAUGCCACAAGAUGAUCAG